UCCCUUGGUGGUCUGAUCCAAGCGGGAUUGGAACCCUGCAUGUACGCUCCAAGUGUUUCUACACAGCUAUAUUUCAGUCGGAUCGCUAUACUACUGCAGUUAGUCACGUCUCUCUCGACAUACGUGGCGACAAUAUCCAGCCAGCUUUUCAUGUUGCUGGUGAGGCAGACUUCCUGUUUGUUCAUCCACUCCCUGAGGCUACUGCACAAACUUUCAGGCGGGACUUUGCAGCAGCCCUGUUUAACACUGAGUUACAGUGUCCGUUCUGUAUUAUUCCUGGACUUUAUUGUUUUUGAAUUUCUCUGAUUAGCGAAAAGGUAAAAAUGUUGCACGAAUCGGUUCCUCAUCCCGUGCGCACUGCACUCUUAACGUCGUCGUCCUUUGUAUUCAGUGUGUAGAAACAACCGCCUGCUUGCGCAAGUUUUAUCCCUGGAACCGAAUCUGAGUAGUGCCUCUCAAACGGACGUCGUAUGUCUUUGUCUAGGCCAAGAAUUGUAGACACCACAAGCACAUAACGGCCACCACGUAAAGAUUUCUAUCGUUUCCGUCUAAGAUUCAUCGCACGCCACCACGGAAGAAGCCGUACUAUCCUUAUUUUCAUUCUUCUUAUUGUCCUUUCUAUUUCGCAUGAGACUCGACUUGGUAAUAGUUGUCUGCGUCUCUGACGUCUUGUGCUUCGGCUGGAUAACAAUGCAGAUGUUUCGUUACUGCCCCCCGUCGUUCCAGAGAACGACGAGGUCGUCAAACUCGCCCUCGGUGCAGUCUUUGGACGAGAGGGCGAACUGCACGUCCCUCUCGGGGGCACCUCAGGAACAGGAGGGUCAACGUGCCCUCUUCAUAGCGUUCGCCUUUGCCAUUCGCAAGCUGGCGCAUCUUCUUUCGCGAAUCGGAGAACCUCCGCUUCGCUGAUCGGUCAGAGUACUACAAGCACCGACCAGCAGAAAUACCAGAAGAUACGCCAGUUUGCGACUUGUGAAGGCGAAUAGUGUGAGGAGGGCACUCUAGCCUUCCUGUUCCUGAGAUGCCUUCUAGAGGGACUGCAAUUCGCCCUCUCGUCCAACGAUUGCGCUGGGGGCAAGCUGGAGAACCUUAUCCCUUACUGGAACAGUGGGGCAGUAACCGCAGUGUUUUGCCAACCGAACCAUAAGACGUCAGGGACGCAGGCAACUAUUCCCAGAUCCAGUCUCAUGUGAAACAGAAAGGACAGUAAGAAGCAUAAAACUAAGGAUAAUAAGGAUUUUUUUCAUUAUGGUGCAUGGUAAAUAUUAGACUAAUGUGGUAGUUUCUUUACGUGGUGGCCGUUAUGUGCUUGUGCUGUCUACAAACCUUGACUCAAAGACACACGACAUAUGUUCGUCAGACACGACCCAGAAUCAGUUCCCGGGAUGAAACUUCGGGAAUCAGACGGUCGUUUGUACAGACUGAAUCCAAAUGAGUGUGAAGUUAAGCGUCCAACGCAGGACGAUGACCGAUCUAUGCUACAUUUUUAGGUUUUCGCUAGUCAUAGCAAUUAAGAGACAAUAAAGAUCAGGGUUUACACAGAACUGAAGCUGUUACUAAGUGUCGAACACAGGUGCUGCGCAGCCAUGUGUGAAAAUUUGCGUAGUAGCCUCAGAGAGUGGAUGGACACACGGGUCGUUUGUCUCAUUAGCAACUGGAAAACCUGGGCGAAUACUGUCGGCCCGUACUCCGAGAGGCAUGUGACUAAUUGCAGCAGUAUGCUGACCCGACGGAAGUACAGUUAUGUAGGAACAGUUCGAGUGCAAAUACAGGGCUUCAAUCCCGCGUGGAUCAGACCACCAGGCGAGGAAGCGCCGGCGCUGUCUGCUACGAAGGUCCACCAAACAAUCCGUGGCGAAAAACACACCGUGGUCAGCGUGACGCGUCUCAGCGAACUGGAGAAGAAAAUUCCAAGUUGCUGGGGCCAGUUCUGCCGAUGGCUGGUAAGUUUCAGUCCAAUUUUCGUUUCUUAGUAUUUCAUUGAAUACACUGACUGAAACGGAUAGUGUUACACAGUGAAACACCAGUCCCAUGUUAACCAAAUAUUGCCUGAUGCGGUUUAGGGAAAUCACGGAAAUCCUGAAUGAGGAGAUCGGACGCGGGUUUGAACCGCUGCGUCACCUCGCUCGGUCUCAAUCGCAGCGUGGUCAGUGUGUCGUACAAAUCUGACGACAUUCAUGACGACAGCUGGAAGGAGUUUACAAAGAUCUCUGUGACACUGGAUGUUUUAAGGCGAUGUUAGAUGUGAAACCUGAGGCUAUCGAAGCUGUCAUACCCUGUGAAGAUGAGAAUAGACUUGGACCCACUGCAGUGAACCACAUUCCCAGAGAGGUUACAUUACGGAAGCGAAUCAGACAAGAAUUUUUCUCAUCACUUGGACCCAAGAACGUGUGCAUUGUGGACGAAGAGUUUUACUCUUAACCGCCAAAGAAGUUUGUAUACGCAUGUAUAUUCAAAUACAGACAUACGUAGGCAGAAUACGGUGCUGCGGUCGGCAACGCCUAUAAAAGACAAGUGUCUGGCGCAGUUGUUAGAUCGGUUACUGCUGCUACAAUAUCAGGUUAUCGAGAUGAAAGUGAGUUUGAACGUGGUGUUAUAGUCGGUGCACGAGCGAUGGGACACAGCACCUCCGAAGUAGCUAUGAAGUGGGGAUUUUCCCGUGCGACCAUUUCACGAGUGUACCGUGAAUAUUAGAAAUCCGGUGAAACAUCUAAUCUCCGACGUCGUUGCAGUCGGAUAAACAUCCUGCAAGAACACGACCACAACGACUGAAGACAAUCAUUCAACAUGACAGAAGUGCAACCCUUCCGCAAAUUGCUGCAGAUUUCAAUGCUGGGUUAUCAACAAGUGUCAGUGUACGAGCCAUUCAACGAAACGUCAUCGAUAUAGGCUUUCGGAGCCGAAGGCCGACUUGUGUACCGUUGAUUGACUGCACCACACAAAGCUUUAACCCUCGCCUGGGCCCGUCAACACUAACAUUCGACUGUUGACGACUGGAAACAUGUUUCCUGGUCGGACGAGUCUCGUUUCAAAUUGUAUCGAACGGAUGGGAUAGAAUGGAGAUAACUUCAUGAAUCCAUGGACCCUAUCAUCAGGGGACUGUUCAAGCUGGUGGAGGCUCUGUAACGUUAUGUUUUAUUUAUAAAUUUGAUAAUUGACAUUAUCAAUGUUAUAUGUGGUCAUAGAAAAAUUGUAGGAAUAAAAAUGUUAGAAUUAAUAAUAAUAAUAAUAAUAAUAAUUUUUAGUGUUAUAAUCCUCUAUCUGAAACAACUACCAGUGUGUAUUUUUACAUUUGAAUAUAAAGAAAUUAUACUUUACUAACUGUCUGAAUGUAAAUGAAAAUCAAAAUUAAAUUUAAGAAAGAAAUUGGA